GAGUUUGAUCGUGGCUCAGAUUGAACGCUGGCGGCAUGCCUUACACAUACAAGUCGAACGGCAGCAUGAUCUAGCUUGCUAGAUUGAUGGCGAGUGGCGAACGGGUGAGUAAUACAUCGGAACGUGCCCUGUAGUGGGGGAUAACUAGUCGAAAGAUUAGCUAAUACCGCAUACGACCUGAGGGUGAAAGUGGGGGACCGCAAGGCCUCAUGCUAUAGGAGCGGCCGAUGUCUGAUUAGCUAGUUGGUGGGGUAAAAGCCCACCAAGGCGACGAUCAGUAGCUGGUCUGAGAGGACGAUCAGCCACACUGGGACUGAGACACAGCCCAGACUCCUACGGGAGGCAGCAGUGGGGAAUUUUGGACAAUGGGCGAAAGCCUGAUCCAGCAAUGCCGCGUGUGUGAAGAAGGCCUCGGUUGUAAGU
rnacentral:rRNA from 1 species